CAAUUCAGUCCUAAUUUUCUUAGCUGAGCUGUAACCUGUUUUAGUUGACGCACACAUCAUCCAGGCGCACGGGCCGCAGCAUCUGCAACCCCGCUGAUAAAGCGGACAGGUGUGGGAGCAGCUGCCGGGCCGCUGCACCUUCUCAGGCACUUACGUGUCGGUGUUGGUCCACAUCCACGUGCAGGACACGGCUUCUCCGCUGGGCUCGAGACAAACACAGAAGUCUGCGUUCUGCAGUGAAACAGCAUUUUGAACAGGUGGACAGAAACCAGUGGAUGCAGCGGGUGAGGCUGGGCAGCAUCACAUCUGGCACCAUCAGCACCAGCGCACUGCAGGGAUGUGUCCCCCCACUGCUCGUCUCCCUCUAUACCAACAGGAGGUGGAGCAGCAGGUCCAGUGGUGCAGUCAGAACCAGCUGGAGCUCAACGCGCUCAAAACUGUGGAGAUGACGGUGGACCCCCCCCGACCAUCCACAACAACACAGUGUCUACCGUGGACUCAUUCAGGUUCCUAGGGUCCACAAUCUCCAGGACCUGAAGUGGGACCUACAUAGACACUGUCCACAGAAAGGCCCAGCAGAGGUUGUCUUCCUGAGACAGCUCCUUCUACUCUAUACAGCUUCCUUCUAUUGAGCGUCUGUACCGGGCCAGACUCAAAGAACGGGCAGCAAGCAUCACUGCUGACUCCACACACCCCACACAGAGUUAUAGCCACCAGAACCAUCAGAACCAACAGAACCACCAGACACAGACUUGGUACCAGUCAGCUUCUUCCCACAGGCUGUUUCUGAGCUGAACUCUACCGGUCACACAAUACAAUGACUCAAUGACACAAACACAAAUGUGCAAUAACCACUGUUGAAUGUGACACAGCAAGCUGCAGUUUAUAUUCUUUAUUUGUUCAUUUUUGUAAAUAACUAUAAUGAAAAUUGUAAUUAGUUUGACGGAGUCAGACCUGAAUCCUGUGCAAACUUGGCCAUUAAAGCUGAUUUUGAUUCUGAGUUACUUUAGUUUCUGCACCAUUUUGGAUGACAACCACCAGGUUUGUCCAACUCUGGAACUACUAUUGAUGAGAAUCUCCAUAGCAAGUCCAGUGAUGGGAAGCCACAGGGAUUGGCUUUAGGCACCAUAUCAUAGUUUGUAUCACAUCCGAGAUCCAACCAAUAUCUUUUCGGACUUCACCAGUGAGGAAGUUUCAAACCGCUACGACUUCCUGUCACAGGCGUUUCUCAGCCACAGAGACACUCAUAAAAC
rnacentral:lncRNA from 1 species